UUCUACAACACCAUGGGAACAUAGGCUUUUUGUAACUCCCGUGACACUUGAAUCACUGAUUAUUUCAAAAGACACGAACUGGCAUAAAAUAAAGAUGUCAAGCAUCUCAAUUACCAUCUCAUUUCUGGAAUUCAUAAACAAAUUGUAAAAACCUUCACAAUCACUGCAUUCCUGUUAGGUGCUUCCUGUGUCUAAGGCCCUACUGUGGAUGUUAAAAGCUUGCCUGGGAGCUGAAGAAACAAAUGAUAUACUUCCAGUCAGGAAUACAGAAUAUGUAGUCAAGAAUAUAAAGAACCUAAGCACAAAUUCCAUCUUUAUGAUACAAAAGAAGGAAUUACAGCUUAAUAUUUGAAUGUUUCCAAGUGAAGAGUGGUUCCUGCAUAGAUUUUAGAGCGUCAGUGCACAAGAAUCAGAACUUAUUAACCCUAAGGACAACGCACUCCAAUCAAAGGAUUUCUUCAAGAAUCUGCACUGCUACCUACAACACCAAAAGGCAUUCUAUGGACUUAAAGCUGCCAGACGUCUCAGGAAGAAACAAACUACACCAGGAAUCAAUCAAGAGGACUCCAAGGCAAAACUAAUCUCUCUGGGUCCCUACCAUCCACAUCUAGAGCAAAGAGGAAAAGGACCAGAUGAAACCAAGCUCAUGAACACGAUUGGUGAACAUCCAGAUCACCUGGGGACAGGUAUUUUGUGUGUGUGUGUGUGUGUGUGUGUGUGUGUAUGUGUAUCUGUGUGUGUGGUGUGUUUAUGGGAGAGAAAGAGAUCAAAAAAAGGAUGAGACUUAGAUAACUGGGUAGGGGUCCAGGAUGUUUUGCUUUUUAGAAGGUUUCUUAGAUUACUGUGACAACCCAGAAGUCUUUCCCAGUAGAAAAUAACAAACUGUUACGGUGCUAAAAGUGACAAUCUCUUGUUGAAGGCCA
rnacentral:lncRNA from 1 species